rnacentral:rRNA from 1 species
GACAGAGGGUGCAAACGUUGUUCGAAAUUACUGGGCGUAAAGCGCGUGUAGGCGGCCCUGUAAGUCGGGUGUGAAAUCCCACGGCUCAACCGUGGAAGUGCAUUCGAAACUACAGGGCUAGAGUUCUGGAGAGGAAGGUGGAAUGCUUGGUGUAGAGGUGAAAUUCGUAGAUAUCAAGCGGAACACCGGUGGCGAAGGCGGCCUUCUGGACAGUAACUGACGCUGAGACGCGAAAGCGUGGGGAGCAAACAGG